rnacentral:rRNA from 1 species
GAUGAACGCUGGCGGCGUGCCUAAUACAUGCAAGUCGAGCGAACAGACGAGGAGCUUGCUCCUCUGACGUUAGCGGCGGACGGGUGAGUAACACGUGGAUAACCUACCUAUAAGACUGGGAUAACUUCGGGAAACCGGAGCUAAUACCGGAUAAUAUAUUGAACCGCAUGGUUCAAUAGUGAAAGACGGUUUUGCUGUCACUUAUAGAUGGAUCCGCGCCGCAUUAGCUAGUUGGUAAGGUAACGGCUUACCAAGGCAACGAUGCGUAGCCGACCUGAGAGGGUGAUCGGCCACACUGGAACUGAGACACGGUCCAGACUCCUACGGGAGGCAGCAGUAGGGAAUCUUCCGCAAUGAGCGAAAGCCUGACGGAGCAACGCCGCGUGAGUGAUGAAGGUCUUCGGAUCGUAAAACUCUGUUAUUAGGGAAGAACAAAUGUGUAAGUAACUAUGCACGUCUUGACGGUACCUAAUCAGAAAGCCACGGCUAACUACAUG